rnacentral:rRNA from 1 species
UUAAGUUAUUAAGGGCGCACGGUGGAUGCCUUGGCACUAGAAGCCGAUGAAGGACGUUACUAACGACGAUAUGCUUUGGGGAGCUGUAAGUAAGCUUUGAUCCAGAGAUUUCCGAAUGGGGAAACCCAGCAUGAGUUAUGUCAUGUUAUCGAUAUGUGAAUACAUAGCAUAUCAGAAGGCACACCCGGAGAACUGAAACAUCUUAGUACCCGGAGGAAGAGAAAGAAAAUUCGAUUCCCUUAGUAGCGGCGAGCGAAAUGGGAAGAGCCCAAACCAACAAGCUUGCUUGUUGGGGUUGUAGGACACUCUAUACGGAGUUACAAAGGACGACAUUAGACGAAUCAUCUGGAAAGAUGAAUCAAAGAAGGUAAUAAUCCUGUAGUCGAAAAUGUUGUCUCUCUUGAGUGGAUCCUGAGUACGACGGAGCACGUGAAAUUCCGUCGGAAUCUGGGAGGACCAUCUCCUAAGGCUAAAUACUCUCUAGUGACCGAUAGUGAACCAGUACCGUGAGGGAAAGGUGAAAAGCACCCCGGAAGGGGAGUGAAAUAGAACCUGAAACCGUGUGCUUACAAGUAGUCAGAGCCCGUUAAUGGGUGAUGGCGUGCCUUUUGUAGAAUGAACCGGCGAGUUACGAUUUGAUGCAAGGUUAAGCAGUAAAUGUGGAGCCGUAGCGAAAGCGAGUCUGAAUAGGGCGUUUAGUAUUUGGUCGUAGACCCGAAACCAGGUGAUCUACCCUUGGUCAGGUUGAAGUUCAGGUAACACUGAAUGGAGGACCGAACCGACUUACGUUGAAAAGUGAGCGGAUGAACUGAGGGUAGCGGAGAAAUUCCAAUCGAACCUGGAGAUAGCUGGUUCUCUCCGAAAUAGCUUUAGGGCUAGCCUCAAGUGAUGAUUAUUGGAGGUAGAGCACUGUUUGGACGAGGGGCCCCUCUCGGGUUACCGAAUUCAGACAAACUCCGAAUGCCAAUUAAUUUAACUUGGGAGUCAGAACAUGGGUGAUAAGGUCCGUGUUCGAAAGGGAAACAGCCCAGACCACCAGCUAAGGUCCCAAAAUAUAUGUUAAGUGGAAAAGGAUGUGGCGUUGCCCAGACAACUAGGAUGUUGGCUUAGAAGCAGCCAUCAUUUAAAGAGUGCGUAAUAGCUCACUAGUCGAGUGACACUGCGCCGAAAAUGUACCGGGGCUAAACAUAUUACCGAAGCUGUGGAUUGUCCUUUGGACAAUGGUAGGAGAGCGUUCUAAGGGCGUUGAAGCAUGAUCGUAAGGACAUGUGGAGCGCUUAGAAGUGAGAAUGCCGGUGUGAGUAGCGAAAGACGGGUGAGAAUCCCGUCCACCGAUUGACUAAGGUUUCCAGAGGAAGGCUCGUCCGCUCUGGGUUAGUCGGGUCCUAAGCUGAGGCCGACAGGCGUAGGCGAUGGAUAACAGGUUGAUAUUCCUGUACCACCUAUAAUCGUUUUAAUCGAUGGGGGGACGCAGUAGGAUAGGCGAAGCGUGCGAUUGGAUUGCACGUCUAAGCAGUAAGGCUGAGUAUUAGGCAAAUCCGGUACUCGUUAAGGCUGAGCUGUGAUGGGGAGAAGACAUUGUGUCUUCGAGUCGUUGAUUUCACACUGCCGAGAAAAUCCUCUAGAUAGAAAAUAGGUGCCCGUACCGCAAACCGACACAGGUAGUCAAGAUGAGAAUUCUAAGGUGAGCGAGCGAACUCUCGUUAAGGAACUCGGCAAAAUGACCCCGUAACUUCGGGAGAAGGGGUGCUCUUUAGGGUUAACGCCCAGAAGAGCCGCAGUGAAUAGGCCCAAGCGACUGUUUAUCAAAAACACAGGUCUCUGCUAAACCGUAAGGUGAUGUAUAGGGGCUGACGCCUGCCCGGUGCUGGAAGGUUAAGAGGAGUGGUUAGCUUCUGCGAAGCUACGAAUCGAAGCCCCAGUAAACGGCGGCCGUAACUAUAACGGUCCUAAGGUAGCGAAAUUCCUUGUCGGGUAAGUUCCGACCCGCACGAAAGGCGUAACGAUUUGGGCACUGUCUCAACGAGAGACUCGGUGAAAUCAUAGUACCUGUGAAGAUGCAGGUUACCCGCGACAGGACGGAAAGACCCCGUGGAGCUUUACUGUAGCCUGAUAUUGAAAUUCGGCACAGCUUGUACAGGAUAGGUAGGAGCCUUUGAAACGUGAGCGCUAGCUUACGUGGAGGCGCUGGUGGGAUACUACCCUAGCUGUGUUGGCUUUCUAACCCGCACCACUUAUCGUGGUGGGAGACAGUGUCAGGCGGGCAGUUUGACUGGGGCGGUCGCCUCCUAAAAGGUAACGGAGGCGCUCAAAGGUUCCCUCAGAAUGGUUGGAAAUCAUUCAUAGAGUGUAAAGGCAUAAGGGAGCUUGACUGCGAGACCUACAAGUCGAGCAGGGUCGAAAGACGGACUUAGUGAUCCGGUGGUUCCGCAUGGAAGGGCCAUCGCUCAACGGAUAAAAGCUACCCCGGGGAUAACAGGCUUAUCUCCCCCAAGAGUUCACAUCGACGGGGAGGUUUGGCACCUCGAUGUCGGCUCAUCGCAUCCUGGGGCUGUAGUCGGUCCCAAGGGUUGGGCUGUUCGCCCAUUAAAGCGGUACGCGAGCUGGGUUCAGAACGUCGUGAGACAGUUCGGUCCCUAUCCGUCGUGGGCGUAGGAAAUUUGAGAGGAGCUGUCCUUAGUACGAGAGGACCGGGAUGGACAUACCUCUGGUGUACCAGUUGUCGUGCCAACGGCAUAGCUGGGUAGCUAUGUGUGGACGGGAUAAGUGCUGAAAGCAUCUAAGCAUGAAGCCCCCCUCAAGAUGAGAUUUCCCAACUUCGGUUAUAAGAUCCCUCAAAGAUGAUGAGGUUAAUAGGUUCGAGGUGGAAGCAUGGUGACAUGUGGAGCUGACGAAUACUAAUCGAUCGAAGACUUAAUCAA